rnacentral:lncRNA from 1 species
UCCUCUCUUCUCCAUGCCCAGGGAGUCUCUCUCUUCUUGAUUAUUGCUAAAAUCAUAUUUCAGCAAAAAGAGAUCUUAAAGAAGCCUAAGUUCUGCUACUAUUCUCAAGAUAUUGAGAAGAUUCUUCUAUCAAGCAAAGAUUCUGCAAGGGAGCUAGCAUCCUGGAAAACCAAGAAGCUUGUUGAUCAGCUCUCAUCUUCGUAUGGAUACCUAUAG